ACACACCUCCUGAUCUCUCUGGACCCCGCCCCCGAAGGGAAGAAACCGGGCAGCGGGGACGGUUGACGCUUCAAACGCCAUCUUUUACGUGGGCGGAAGAAGUCGCUGCUUAAUUUCGUUUUCCUCGUGGGACACCGUAGAAAUGUCUUAUGUGCUGCUUUGGAGCGGGAGCUGAGGAUUUGUUGAUUACCUCCCAUUUACCAGGAUUACAGCAAAUUAGAUUUAACUGUGACUGGCAUGGGACCUAUCUGAUGUCGACAUGGAUGAGGAAUAUUGCUAUAUAAACCACAAGACUGGACAAAGACUCACAAAGAGUCUGCGGAUCACAAGACCCACCUGUGAAGCAGAGGCUCUCUGGUUUGAUUGCAUAAUGGAAAAGACACAGUUUUACAAGCUGAAACCAAAUCACGAGGAUAGAGAUAGCUUGCAAAAUUGCAGGGAGGGAAAGUGGUGGGGUAGGGAAGGAGACCCUAGAGAGAAUGGGGACAAACAGAUGACCUGAAGUAGAGGAUAAGAUGAGGAGGCUUCCAAACUGUGUCAAGGGCACCAAAAUGGGGGGGAAGCAGGAGGGAAUGCAAAUUGUCAACUAUUCCACAAUUUAAUGAACAGUGUACUAAUAUGUGUACUAUUUCUACUCUGUCACCAACUUAAUUCAAGGCCAAGGUCUCAGAGACAGAAUGCUGGAAUAUAAUUCUAGAACUGUGCCAAUAAACAAUAAAUCAAAGUCCAUAGUUUUUCUCAUCACGUAAAAUUGUCAUAUUAAAGUUACAAACAUUCUCUCCAUACAGUCUAAUGUUUAAUGCAUUCUAUAGUCUUUAUUAAGAAUCUGUCAUUUGGUCCCUAAAUGACCCAUUUAUUUAAUUUUAAAAUAUUGUUUCUGUUUCUUGUUGGUAUUAUCAAUCUCAGUUCCCUGUUAACUUUCUCCCCAUAUGAUAGCAAAUAUGUCCCCUACUGAACAAAAUUACUUCACUUAGCUUAAUUUUACAUUUAAAAAAUUUCCACAUUUUAAAAGUUUGGUACCUUCACAUGUUAGUAGAAUUUUGACAACAGGAUAUUAAUAUCACAGCUGGCUCAAUGAAAGCAAAGGUACAAGUCAGGACCCACAUUGCUUCGAAUGAGGAGCUUGGGAGUUCACCAUAGCCAAAGUGUGAAAAUUCUGUUAAGAUUUUGCUGCUGAUCUGUUUUCUCUCAGGACCUAUGCUUGCUUCCCAUGCCCCAGCCAACUCCCUAAUCCUGAGCACAGGCCUAGAUGUCUUUAUCCUGACUUCUGAAGGGCCUGGGAAACACCUCUGUCUCAAUACCCCUAUCCCAAACCAGUAGAUAGCCAAUGGCUGGCUUUCUAAAAUAAAGGCAGUGUACAUAUUUUGUCAGUGGAAAUGGAAAUGUCCACAAGUAGAAGAUUUUGCUUUUUAAUAAUUUGUAGUGUUCAGUAAAGUUUAGUCUUUAGACUGGGCCAAUCCAUGAUACUUAUUUUCUCCUGUGUUAUAUUUGCUUUGAUUUUAUAUUUUGAAAUGUAAUUUUAAGUCUCUUGAAGCCAAUAAUAAAAAAAAUUAGGACUUGUA